rnacentral:rRNA from 1 species
AGUUACUAGUAAUCGCAGAUCAGAAUGCUGCGGUGAAUGCGUUCCCGGGUCAUGUACACACCGCCCGUCACACCACGGAAGUUGGGGGCGCCCGAAGCCACUUAGCUAACCCUUUUGGGAAGCGAGUGUCGAAGGUGAAAUCAAUAACUGGGGUGAAGUCGUAACAAGGUAAC